AACAAGCUACGAUGUUCGUAUUUAUUUAAGUUUUAACCUCUAAUGAGAUAAUAGGGAGUUUUACAUUGAAGCUCUAAUGUCGUGCCGUCAAGAGCGGAAGGCAGGAAGGUUUCUGCAAACACCCACUUUGGUGAAGUGGUGGUUUAAAACUUUUUAUGAAAAUACGGCAUAGGUGGCUAUUGA
rnacentral:other from 1 species